rnacentral:rRNA from 1 species
UACGGGGGGGGUAAGCGUUGUUCGGAAUUACUGGGCGUAAAGGGCUCGUAGGCGGCCAACUAAGUCGGACGUGAAAUUCCUCAGCUUAACUGGGGAACUGCGUCCGAUACUGGAUGGCUUGGAUUUGGGAGAGGGAUGCGGAAUUCCAGGUGUAGCGGUGAAAUGCGUAGAUAUCUGGAGGAACACCGGUGGCGAAGGCGGCAUCCUGGACCAAUAUUGACGCUGAGGAGCGAAAGCCAGGGGAGCAAACGGG